rnacentral:rRNA from 1 species
GAUGAACGCUAGCGGCAGGCCUAAUACAUGCAAGUCGAACGGUGUAGCAAUACACAGUGGCGCACGGGUGCAUAACACGUAUGCAACCUACCUUACAUUGGGGGAUAGCCUUUCGAAAGGGAGAUUAAUACCGCAUAAGACAGUAACUAGGCAUCUAGUAGCUGUUAAAGAUUUAUCGAUGUAAGCUGGGCAUGCGUCCAAUUAGUUAGUUGGCGAGGUAAUGGCUCACCAAGACGAUGAUUGGUAGGGGAACUGAGAGGUCAAUCCCCCACACUGGCACUGAGAUACGGGCCAGACUCCUACGGGAGGCAGCAGUAGGGAAUAUUGGGCAAUGGGCGCAAGCCUGACCCAGCCAUGCCGCGUGCAGGAAGAAGGCGUUAUGCGUUGUAAACUGCUUUUAUACAGGAAGAAACGACCCUUGCGAGGGGCAUUGACGGUACUGUAUGAAUAAGCACCGGCUAACUCCGUGCCAGCAGCCGCUGUAAUAC